CUGCUGGAGCGCUGAAGUUAGCUUCUGACCCGACAGUUAAGGGUUAGGAUAAGGGAAAUGGGUCUGUGUAUAUUUUGGCAAUUGGGUUUUCCGUUCUGAAACGGGUAUUGAGAAACAACAAGCGAGUGGUUAUUUGAUUUAGAAUAACAAAUAAAUAAAAUCAGUGAGAGGGAAACGAAAAAAGGUCAGUUUUCUCAUUUUCUGAGACCGGAAACGGUCAUCAGCAAGUGUGGAUCAUGGUGCAUAGACUGUAUUUUUUUUUCCGUUAGUUUUCAUGGUCAAAAUGAGAGAUCAGGUGGCCGAUCUUAAAAUAAAUCAAUAUUGAAUUUUUUAUAGAGCGUUAAAGUUUUGCGAAGCCGGGGGGCGGGUUUACUUGAUUGACAGUCUGGUCUGGAACGAUUGAGGGGUCCUAUGGAGGAGGCAGCAGAGACUCUGUUCUCUUUGUUUGGAUUAAUUCUGAUAUAAUAACUGUUGGUUUAUUUAUCGGUGGAGCGGCAGAACCUUUUCCACAAACAGUUUUCCUGCCCAUUGGCUUGUUUUAACCAGUUUUCUGCGUUCGACUGAUUCUACCAGCAGACACUGAAAGGACUCUGAUAGUGUCUCAUGUUCACUGUGAGGAUCUUCUGAUUGAAGCCAGCAGAAGGAAAACCUCAUCUGGUUGUGAAGAAGGAGACUGAAUGGAAGACAUCCUCAGUGAAUCACUUCCUGUUCAGCUUUCACUUACAGAAGGACAGACCAACUCUUUCAGCUGUUUAUUAUUCUCUGUUCUUAGUAUUCACAGGUUCCAUUUAUCACCUUUAACUUCAUCCCUGCUGUUGUAGCAGAACUACAAUAUAAAAAGUCCAUGUUAUUUAUAGCAGAUAUGCAGCAUUAAAACAUCAACACAUUCAGGUCAAGAGCUUCAUUAUUAUCUUUAUUGCACAUUUUAAAACUACAUUAUUUAACUAUUGUGAACUGUAAAGAUGUGUACACACAUGAAAUAAAUGGAUGAAAUAAAUAAUGUGUUGCUGACAGUGAGGUGUAAAUACUGAACAGUCACAAAUAAUUCCGCUAACUUGACUGAACGUGGCUGCAGUUCCCGUUAUUUAAACAUGAAUAUUGUUACUGUCCAAAGACAGUGGUUUUUGGAAUUUCAAGUUGGUUGUUUUUUGUGUUUAUUUUUUAUAUGUUUGAAUUUUGUAUUAGAAUUGUUCAUAAUGGGAGAGGUGAAUGUACACCUUUAAGAGGUCACAUGGCUGCGUUUUAGCGCGGGGUCACCCGUGUGGGAUUGUGGGUCAUAGCAGCACGGCUACGGAGGAGAACGCCAUUGUUGCUUCAGAGGACGCCAUUAUUGCUAAAGAGGACGGCAUUCUACACGGUCUGAGAGGCGCACACGGUGAAGUGACUUUUCGUUGUCUUGUUUUAAUCAGUUUUCAGUUCAGUAAUUCAGUCCUUCGGCUGAUUGGACCAACAGACACUGAAGGACUCUGACAGCUGAGUGAAAGUAGCAAUUCCUCCUUAAGGUCAGAGAUUGCAGCAUCUGAGGGCCUCUUCAAAAGAAGAUGUAGUUGAUGAAGGCGUUCUGGAGCAGGGCCAGAAAGACCACAACCAAGCAGCCUUGAGAUCUUAGGCAGCGUCUCCCUCAGACCAAAGAACUACAGACUCUUCACAACCUGCUCAAACUCUUGGUACAGGACCUCACCACACGGGUCAAGAAGGUUUCCGUCUCAUUUCUACUCUGAAGCUCACCUUCUCCUGCUCAAACUGCUGACAAAUGUUUCUGCUGCUCUAAAGUCUGGUCUCCAGAACUUCCUAAAAACUCUCAAAGUCUCUUCUGCUGCAGGUUGCUUUGUAGAACUGUUGCAGAAAACCUCACUAAACCACAUGGAGGGGCCUCAAGAUAGUCGUCCAAAUGAAACCGUACAAAAACCAAACUAACACAACCCAAACGCUAAAGUCUCCUGCAGCCUACCAGAGAACCUCUGAGAACAGAGAAUCAGAACAGGAACUCUUACCUUCUAGACAACCAGCGUUGGUUCACAAGAAUACAGAAUGUGUCUGACCAAAAACCUCUAAAGACUCACUACAGCCAAGAUAAAGACACAACUCAGCUGGACCAAAUCCACUAAUCACUGCACACAUUAGCACCAUGUGCUAACUGUGGCUAAAGAACCACCUUUACCAAGACAACUAUCCAGUACAAAGCCCUAGAACACACCAAGAAACAUAUUAAAGACGAUUUUACUGCUGGAAGCUGCAAGCCAAUGCCUAAAGAACAAACUAAAGGAAUGGAGCCAAACCCAGUUCAGUGGUGAAGAGAAACAGAGGAAAUGUUUGUCUGCAGCUAAAUAAAGCAGGAAGACACUGAGCUGCUCAGGUGUUCCUGAUAACACCAAGCAGCCACCUGGACAGCCAAUAGGAACACAGCUUACUGGAAGUCCAGAGGGCUGGGUUAGUGAAGGAAAUUUAGUUUAAAGUUGAAGCAGAAAGUUAACAAAGGAAGUUGAAAACCACCUUCUGAUACCUGAAAUCUCUGAGUUUUCACACAAAGAACACCUGAACAUGUCAAACUAGCUUCAUAGUAGAACCAUCAUUGUAAAAACGUCAUAGUAUGGUGUGUUGCUCAAAAAACAUUAUGACCUGGCUGUCUAGGGUUGCCGAAGAGCAACACAAAAACAGGACAAACGCUGGUUUCCAGGGGGUUAGGAGGCUAUUUAUUUGAAAGAGUAAGUUUACAACAACACAACAUGUGAGCAGAAAAAUCACAGUCUGUCUUUAGUUGAGCUGAAAAUAUUAGUUUUUGUCUUUUUUAUUGACCAAACUUUUCAGGAAGUAGAUGAAGAAUAAUUAAAGCUCUCAUGUAGAAGUCCAACUUAUUUUGGAUCCUUGUGGAGAGUUUAAUCUUAGAGUUUGUAAAGCUGUUGAGUUUUUAGUCACAUGGAUUGUUUUGACAUUUAAUAACCGAGUCCUGAAAUAAAAUUACAGUUGUGGAUUUCUGUCAUUUAGUCUGAACUAAACAAAUAACAGCAGCAUAAAUCUCAAACGUCAUUAUGAGAAGUCUGGAUUGAGGUUUCCCACUUGAUAAUGAUCAAAACAUGAAAUUUAGGUUGGUUUAAAGGAAUAUUCCACCUUAAAUCUUUGAAUGUUGACCUAAAAGGUUGGUUUCAGGAAGUAUUCCACCUACAAGGUCCUCAAACAUCCACCUUAAAGGAACAUUCCACCAAAAAUCCUUAGACAUGCACCUAAAAUGUUGGUUUAACCGAGUAUUCCAUCCAAAAUCCUCAAAGAGACCUGAGGGGCUGAUUAAAAGGAAUAUUCCACCUAAAACCUCAAAUAUAGACCCGAAAGGGGGUAGAACGUGGUAGAACGGCUCUGAAGAAUCUUGUACUUGUCUUAUCUGGAACAAUCUAACAGCCUAAACUGUUAACAGCAGUGUAAAGAAGCAAACAUACAGGCAUAGAUUAGGACUCAAACUAGAUUUAUUGUAGAAAACAAAUCAGCUUAGAGGCAUUUGUUCACACGUGGCUGAAUAGGAGGCCGUCCAAUCAGAUUCGAGGUCUUCACUCUGUAGGUUGUUUGUUGGGUGAGACUCUUUGAUCUCCAUCAGCUGACAUGGAUGUUUGAUGGUCUUCUUCUCUAGUGCCAGAUGAUUCAUCCAUGAAUUCAGCAGCUACAGACUGAAAUGAAGCUCAUGCUGCCGUUAUUGAAUUCCUGUUCCAGAUCAAAUGUUCAGAGCUCACCUUGAAUGCAGCCGUCUGCUGUCUGAUAGUUUUUCUCAUUGUAGUCUUCAAUAAAGUCUUUUUCCUCA